GUAGCUAAGCUGUCUCAGAAUUAUUUUAUCGAAUUUACUGUAUAGAUGAAAAAGUCUAUAAAUCCAAAAAAGACGAGAAGACCCUUAGAAUUUAAAUAAAACCGAAUAGUUUUUCGUAAUAUUUUUGUUGGGGCGACAAGAAGACAAUUAACUUUAACUCUUCUGAUAAUAUAAGACGAUUAGUAAUAAGGUCGGAUAAAUUACCUGAGGGAUAACAGCAUAAUUUUAUGAUUAAGUUUGUGACCUCGAUGUUGGACUAGGAAAUUAAUAGACUAGCCGUUUAUUAUAUUGGUUCUGUUCGAACUGUUUUUCCUACAUGAUCUGA
rnacentral:rRNA from 1 species